rnacentral:rRNA from 1 species
GGGUGUGUUGCUAACGCUGGGGAAAUACCUGAUCUCAUUCCGAACUCAGAAGUCAAGCCCAGUCGUGGCGAAGGUAGUGCUAGGGCGACUUAGUGUGAGAAUAGCUAAACGCACCUA